rnacentral:lncRNA from 1 species
GGAAUUUCUAUCAACUAGAUGACAUCAUGAAUGUAACAGUAGUAAGGUUGGUAGUGAAAUCACUCCUGAUAAGAGGAGUUUGAAGUCUAUUAGGAAGUGGAAGAGCAAUGAAGUGACUACCCCUACGAGAACAUUUUACAUCACAGUUGCAAAGAACACAUCUAUCCUCUUCAUUAAAUCAACUGGUGUCCUUGAAGCUCCGGCUCAGCUGCCCUCUGACCCAAGAGAAGCAACAAAAUCCUAAAUCUCACUCCUCUGGCAAGAUCCACCAGGAGGUGAUUUGUUGAACAGCUUGUUAUGUGUGUUGAGAGAAGAUCUUCUACAACUAUUAGGAACAAACACAAGCCCAAGUUUUGAAAAAGUCAAGCAAAAAUGAAAUUGAAAUAGGAUAAUCCAUGGGGACAUAGGGAAGAGACGAUUGUCCUCACUCCAUCUUCUUCCAAGACCCUCAGAAUGUCUUCCUAGUAGUAGAAAAUAAGACAGAACCACGAUGCUUGAGAAUACACCAGAGCCACGAGAAGAUAAGAGUAAAUGAUAAACAUCAGCUGAGACAAUUUUAC